rnacentral:rRNA from 1 species
AGACUCCUACGGGAGGCAGCAGUGGGGAAUCUUGCACAAUGGGGGAAAGCCUGAUGCAGCGACGCCGCGUGGGGGAUGAAGCUUUUCGGAGUGUAAACCCCUUUCGACCCGGACGAAUGCCCCGCAAGGGGACUGACGGUACGGGUAUAAGAAGCCCCGGCUAACUACGUGCCAGCAGCCGCGGUAAGACGUAGGGGGCCAGCGUUGCUCGGAAUUACUGGGUGUAAAGGGUUCGUAGGCGGUGCGGCAAGUUGGGAGUGAAAUCUCUGGGCUCAACCCAGAGGCUGCUUCCAAAACUGCUGUGCUUGAGUGUGGGAGAGGCGCGUGGAAUUGCAGGUGUAGCGGUGAAAUGCGUAGAUAUCUGCAGGAACACCCGUGGCGAAAGCGGCGCGCUGGACCACAACUGACGCUGAGGAACGAAAGCUAGGGGAGCAAACAGGAUUAGAUACCCUGGUAGUCCUAGCCCUAAACGAUCAGGACUUGGGGUGCUUCACGUUCGUGGAGCGUCCCGGAGCUAACGCGUUAAGUCCUGCACCUGGGGAGUACGGUCGCAAGACUGAAACUCAAAGGAAUUGACG